UGCGCAGCAAGAGCUCUGGCGCCAUCUGUGGCUUUAUACGACACAGCUUAUUAUAUCUGAUCAGCGCACGUGGCCGGCCUCAUACAAGUAACGCCUGCAUCGCCGAUUUUGCGCUGUCCUAAGCUUAAGUUUAGCGUAACUUCAGGCAUUAUGCUCAGGUGAGACUGCCAGAGGCUCUCCACUUGUUUGAUUAUUUAAGGCGUUCCUUUAUUUGAUUUUAGCCUUCACUUCAGACUGGCUUCUUCAUUUUUCCCAGGCGAACUUCUCUGGCACGCAUUCGUCACUUCCCCGGCGAAGAAAAAAAUGUACCCUUUCACACUGACAUCUCUUCCCGGCGAAAGUUGACGGGUGAUUUGCUUGGGCGGAAUCUUUUCAUCCAUGAUGAAACAGAGAUGGGUCAAGAAAAUAAGAUGGAAACGGUGGUGGAAGUUACCAGAGAAACAAAGAUACAUGAGUCCUUUUCUUUAGUGAAGUGGAAGCUGUUGUAGACUCAAUCCAUUUACUUGGGUUAUUCAACCAAUUCUGAGAGUCUUUUCAUCCAUGAUGAAACAGAGAUGGGUCAAGAAAAUAAGAUGGAAACGGUGGUGGAAGUUACCAGAGAAACAAAGAUACAUGAGUCCUUUUCUUUAGUGAAAUGGAAGCUGCUGUAGACUCAAUCCAUUUACUUAAGUUAUUCAACCAAUUCUGAGAGUCUUUUCAUCCAUGAUGAAACAGAGAUGGGUCAAGAAAAUAAGAUGGAAACGGUGGUGGAAGUUACCAGAGAAACAGAAAUACAUGAGUCCUUUUCUUUAGUGAAGUGGAAGCUGUUGUAGACUCAAUCCAUUUACUUGGGUUAUUCAACCAAUUCUGAGAGAUGGAAACGGUGGUGGAAGUUACCAGAGAAACAAAGAUACAUGAGUCCUUUUCUUUAGUGAAGUGGAAGCUGUUGUAGACUCAAUCCAUUUACUUGGGUUAUUCAACCAAUUCUGAGAGAUGGAAACGGUGGUGGAAGUUACCAGAGAAACAAAGCCGAACAUGUCUCUGAUGGAAACAUACUUAAAGGCAACAUUCUUCAUUACUAACUGAACAGGAGUCAUGGUUGUAGAUAUGUCUUUGGGUGACACUUAUGGAACCAAAGCCUGUGCAUUCUUUGGAUGAGGAUUCAUUGAGUUUAUCUAGGUUUAUGAGACUUAGCUGAGAGUGGGACCAGGAGAGGUCGAAUCUGCUGUAAUUCAUGAAGAGAAAAAUGUACUUGGAUCGAGAGGACAUGAAUGAAAACUGGUUAUUGAUCUAUAGAGAGACAUCAAGACAAUGAUUCUGCUGCUUGCCAAGUGACAAUGUGCCAUUUGAAAUUGUUCACAGGAUGUAGAAAUUGCUGCCUUCUUAACCUCUUCAGCAGGGAUUUAGUCUAGUCAACAUUUUGCAGGCCCUUGGCCUCAGCCCGAGUCACUUGUACAAAGUCUAUGGAAGCAUUUAUCACCAGCAACCUUGUUACGUGGAACUACCAGACUCGAUUACAUCCCUACUCUUCAGUUAUAACCAACUCAUGAAAGUAAUUCUUAUUUACCAGGAAUAUUCUGAAUUCACUGUUGGGUCAAGUAUUUUUUAUGCCAAUAUGAUGAAUCCAAAAAAUCAGGCUUCUAUCAGGAAUUAGAUAUGAAGUAGUUCUCACCAUGGAAAUUAAUACAAAUAUCAUUUUAGUUAUAUUUUUUAAUGCCCCCGCAGACAAAAUCCAGAGGGGGCAUUAAGCGUUGCCCUUGUCUGUCGUCAAAGGUCACAGCUCAUUAAAUAUGCAAGUUGGGCUCCGCAUGAUAACUUAUGAAAUGUUCAACGGACUUACAAAAUUUUUGGUGUGUUGGUAGAUGACACCAAAAUACAGGCUAAGGUAGAAUUUGGAGUCCACAUGUCAAAGGUCACCGUUCAUUACAUAUGCCAGUUGGUUUCCGCAUGAUAACUUAUGAAAUAUUCAACGGAUUUAAAAAAAUUGGGGUGUAUAGGUAGAUGACAUGAAAAUACAGGCAAAGUUCGAAUUUGGAGUCCGCAGGUCAAAGGUCACAGCUCAUUAUAUAUGUGAGUUGGUUUCCGCAUCAUAAUUUUGGAAAUAUUCCCCAGAUUUUAAAAAUGUUUGGUGUCUGGGGCUCUGGGUAGAUGACACCAAAAUACAGUCAGGUCACAUCAAAUGACCAGACUGUCAUAUCUUCUGUUAGGGAUUAUUAUGGAAAGUGUGAGUCUUUAGGUCAAAGGUCUAAAUUUGUUCAUUGUAUAAAUGCAUAUUGGUUUCUGCGAUAUUAAGUUCAAUCAUAUUGAAUGAAUUUCUGAUUGCGUUGAGCGGGGACACGUCAAAUUUCUAGUUGUAUUUUGUUCAAGAUUUCACUUUUACUGACACAGUAACUUUGUACAUAAAUUUGUUGUUUCAAAAAGUGUAUUAGGUAGAUAACGGGAUUAUUUUAUUCUUUAACCCUUUGAACCCUAAAUAAUUGGGGGCGGCCAUGACCCAUACCCUGAAUUAUUUGCACAUAUCGACCAAAUUCACAAACUCCCAUGAUUUGAACCCCAAUGGCAUCUUCCCCCUGCUGGUACCCCGCCCCUGCCCGGCUGAAGUUGUUUAACUUCUUACAGACCUUGUCUACCAACAGAAAUAUCUUUAGUGUCUGUUUUAAGCUCAAAAUCACUGCUUUGACUCGAGUCAGAUUUAUCAGUAGCUCCCCAUAGUCAGUAGGUGACUUGCAGUGUAUUAGGCAGUGUAAUUUCUACACAUGCCAGACGAGUCUCCGUAGUAGAGUAACAUAUUUUGGCCAUUUCGGUUGCUAAAACCUUCCAAAAUCAAUACCAAUCUUGACUGAAAUUAUUGAUUAAAUAUCCUUGUGUGUACUAGAAAAAUGAUGUCAUUUUUAAAAGAUCACCUAACAAUUAGAAUUCAUGUUUUUUCCAGCCUAUCGGGUAUUGGCAAGUUCACUGCUAUAAACUGGUUCAAAGGGUUAAAUGUUAAAACAAAAUUCGAUAAAACAGUUGAAAUAUUUGGAAAUGUUUGCAUCUAAAAAGUGGAGAAUGAUACAUUUGAAAUAAUAUAACAAGGCCACUUUUCACUUUGUAUUUAGUAACAUUAUAUGAACUUUACAAAGCCCUGACUAUUUUGAAAUCACAUGGGGGGGCUUUGAAAACGGCAAAACUAAAUUAUCACUAUAUCAUUAUAAGUGUUUGUAUAAUUGAAGAAAUAUCUUCCAAAUUAUGGUUAAGUUUUUAGUGCUGACAAAUUGUCAAAAUAAUUAUCAAAGUUAAACAAGACACUUUACCAGAGUGGUUAUUAGAGUAAUAUACCAUAUCACUUUUUCAUAUACAGUACGAUUGUAGUUCCUAAUCUUUGAAUUGUGUUUUCACAAAUUUGUUAUGACAAUUAGAACAAAUAAAGAAUACACUUCUAUCCAUUUUAUACAA